UGACGAUAAAAUUGUUGGCCAAUUCAACGUUUUGUAUUGUGUAUAUUUUCUUUUGCUGUUUUAUGAUUUUGUAAAUAUUCUGUGAAUUUGGCCUUGUUUUGCGCAAUGUUAAUACACUUAGUAAAGUUAUUUGAAUAACGGAAAGUUUAUAUUCGAGGAAGAAUAAUUUAGCAUUUGCAGCAAGAUAUUUUAAAAAUUUUGAGGAGUUGAUGAAGAUACACAAGUGAACUGAGAUGAUAAGGCUUUACCGUUAGAUAUUCUUAUGAUUUUUUUACUUUCGACAACCGAAGCCCGCGAUGCAUUCAAGACCGGACAACGGAUUUGGCGCCGGGGACGGAGGCGCGACGCAGGGCUCGGACGAGCUCAAGAGUAGCCCAGGCGCGAAGAACAGGAACGGAGCCAGCAACGGCGACAGAGCCACCGAGAGCACCAACCUCAACGCUCAGACCUACUUCGCCGAGACGAGAAUUCCCAUUCCGGAGAUCGAAAGCGGUGCUUUUAGUUGGAGAAAAUUAUGGGCUUUCACCGGUCCUGGAUUUUUAAUGUCUAUUGCUUACUUGGAUCCCGGCAAUAUAGAAUCCGACUUGCAAUCGGGAGUCGAGGCAAGCUACAAGCUCUUAUGGGUUUUGCUGAGCGCGACGAUAAUGGGACUGCUCAUGCAAAGGCUCAGCGCUCGCUUGGGCGUCGUGACGGGUCUUCAUCUGGCUGAGAUGUGCCAUCGCCAGUACAAAAAGUUGCCAAGAUUCUUACUGUGGAUCAUGACUGAAAUAGCGAUCAUAGGUAGCGAUAUGCAAGAGGUCAUUGGCACGGCCAUUGCUCUUUUCCUUUUAACUGGAGGACGGCUUCCAAUUUGGGGAGGUGUUAUUUUCACGAUCGUCGAUACUUUUACGUUCUUGUUCUUGGACAAGUACGGUCUUCGAAAGUUGGAACUGUUCUUCGGUUUCCUAAUCACGGUCAUGGCUGUGACAUUCGGAUUCGAGUACAUCACUGCUGCUCCACCCCAAGGAGAAAUACUCAAAGGAAUGUUCUUCCCUUGGUGUAAAGAUUGCAGUAGUGGUGCUUUAACUCAAGCCGUGGGUAUAAUAGGAGCUGUAAUAAUGCCCCACAAUUUAUAUUUACACAGUGCUCUUGUCAAGUCUCGUGAUAUCGACAGGAGACAGCCAAAGAAAGUUAAAGAAGCAAACAUGUAUUAUUUCAUAGAAGCUACUAUCGCCUUAUUAGUUUCUUUUGUAAUCAAUGUGUUCGUAGUAUCUGUUUUUGCAAACGGUCUUUUCGAAAAAAAGCCAUCAGAUAUUCUUCAACUCUGCGAGGCCAACCAUUUCCAAGAAGGUAUUGAUAUCUUCUCGAACAUGACUGAUGCUCAAGGGCUUGAAGUAGAUUUAUACAAAGGAGGUAUCUUCUUGGGUUGUAAAUUUGGUUUCAUUGCCAUGAUUAUUUGGGCCGUUGGUAUUUUGGCAGCUGGUCAAUCAUCUACUAUGACUGGCACGUACGCCGGUCAGUUUGCUAUGGAAGGAUUCUUGAAUUUACAGUGGGCCAGGUGGAAGCGGGUUCUUUUCACUAGGACAAUAGCUAUUGUGCCAACAUUAUUCGUCGCCUUGUAUGCUGAAUUUGGUCAGCUGACUAAAAUGAACGAUAUUCUUAAUGCUGUUAUGAGUAUUCAGUUGCCAUUUGCAGCUCUACCAACAAUUGCCUUUACUAGCAGUGUCGCAAUUAUGGGUGAAUUCAGAAAUGGAUUAUUCAAUAAAAUUGUAGCCACAAUUUUAUCUCUCCUAGUCAUAUCUAUAAAUAUUUAUUUUGCAUAUGAUAAGGUUUCUGAUAUGGGAACACUGGGAAAAACAUUAAUCUGCAUUUAUGCAGUUUUGUAUCUGAUAUUUUGUUUAUACCUUGUGAUUCAUAUGGCUAUCUGUAUGGGAGCAACUUCUCUUAAGGACUAUCCCAUUAUUGAAAAGUAUGUUGGUGGCCCAGUAGAAACAAUUUUAAAUGUUUCCCACCCUAUCGCUUAUUCUAGUUUCAACAAUACAUCUGAAACCUCGCUGGAUACCUAAAGAUCUGAAUAGUACCACGUACACGACUCAUGCUAAAAUAGUAAAAAUACAAAUGCAAUCGUGGUUUAGGGAUUCAGAAAUUCAUUGUCAUCCAUGGUCACAUAGUCUUCAUAUUGUUCGCAUGAAGGAAUCCGGUAUUCUGUGAUGAUGAAGGAGUAAACGGAACUUUCAAGUUACGCAACAGUGUUGCUUUAUCCUAAAUUGAAUUGAU
rnacentral:misc_RNA from 1 species